UGUGGUUCAGUGGUAGAAUCCUUGUCUACCACACAGGAGACCUGGAUUCAAUUCCCAGACACACAU
rfam:Alligator mississippiensis ScZkoYb_26, whole genome shotgun sequence.